UACAGAGGGUGCAAGCGUUGUUCGGAAUUAUUGGGCGUAAAGCGCGUGUAGGCGGCAAGGCAAGUCGGGUGUGAAAGCCCUGGGCUCAACCCAGGAAGUGCAUUCGAUACUGCCAAGCUGGAGUCCCGGAGAGGAUGGUGGAACUCUCGGUGUAGAGGUGAAAUUCGUAGAUAUCGAGAAGAACACCGGUGGCGAAGGCGGCCAUCUGGACGGUGACUGACGCUGAGACGCGAAAGCGUGGGGAGCAAACAGG
rnacentral:rRNA from 1 species